GUAUGUAUGCAAGCCUAGCUGUGCGGCAGAAAAAGACCUGGGAGUGUUGGUUGACAGCCGGUUGAACAUGAGCCAGCAGCGUGCCCAGGUGGCCAAGAAGGCCA